rnacentral:rRNA from 1 species
UACGUAGGGUGCGAGCGUUGUCCGGAAUUACUGGGCGUAAAGAGCUCGUAGGUGGUUUGUCGCGUUGUCCGUGAAAACUCACAACUCAAUUGUGGGCGUGCGGGCGAUACGGGCAGACUGGAGUACUGCAGGGGAGACUGGAAUUCCUGGUGUAGCGGUGAAAUGCGCAGAUAUCAGGAAGAACACCCGUGGCUGAGGCGGCUCUCUAGUACGGUACUGACGCUGAGACGCGAAAGCGUGGGGAGCGAACAGG